CGGGUGAGUAAUACGUGAGUAACCUGCCCUUGACUCUGGGAUAAGCCUGGGAAACUGGGUCUAAUACUGGAUACGACAUGUCACCGCAUGGUGGUGUGUGGAAAGGGUUUUACUGGUUUUGGAUGGGCUCACGGCCUAUCAGCUUGUUGGUGGGGUAAUGGCUCACCAAGGCGACGACGGGUAGCCGGCCUGAGAGGGUGACCGGCCACACUGGGACUGAGACACGGCCCAGACUCCUACGGGAGGCAGCAGUGGGGAAUAUUGCACAAUGGGCGAAAGCCUGAUGCAGCGACGCCGCGUGAGGGAUGACGGCCUUCGGGUUGUAAACCUCUUUCAGCACGGAAGAAGCGAAAGUGACGGUACGUGCAGAAGAAGCGCCGGCUAACUACGUGCCAGCAGCCGCGGUAAUACGUAGGGCGCAAGCGUUGUCCGGAAUUAUUGGGCGUAAAGAGCUCGUAGGCGGUUUGUCGCGUCUGCUGUGAAAGCCCGGGGCUUAACCCCGGGUGUGCAGUGGGUACGGGCAGACUUGAGUGCAGUAGGGGAGACUGGAAUUCCUGGUGUAGCGGUGAAAUGCGCAGAUAUCAGGAGGAACACCGAUGGCGAAGGCAGGUCUCUGGGCUGUUACUGA
rnacentral:rRNA from 1 species